rnacentral:rRNA from 1 species
UGGUUGACCUCGGAUCAGGUAGGGAUACCCGCUGAACUUAAGCAUAUCAAUAAGCGGAGGAAAAGAAACCAACAGGGAUUGCCUCAGUAACGGCGAGUGAAGCGGCAAAAGCUCAAAUUUGAAAUCUGGCUCUUUCAGGGUCCGAGUUGUAAUUUGUAGAAGAUGCUUCGGGUGUGGUCCCGGUCUAAGUUCCUUGGAACAGGACGUCAUAGAGGGUGAGAAUCCCGUAUGUGACUGGGUACCUACGCUCAUGUGAAGCUCUUUCGACGAGUCGAGUUGUUUGGGAAUGCAGCUCAAAAUGGGUGGUAAAUUUCAUCUAAAGCUAAAUAUUGGCCAGAGACCGAUAGCGCACAAGUAGAGUGAUCGAAAGAUGAAAAGCACUUUGGAAAGAGAGUUAAACAGUACGUGAAAUUGUUGAAAGGGAAGCGCUUGCAAUCAGACUUGCGCCUAGUUGAUCAUCCGGGCUUCUGCCCGGUGCACUCGAUUAGGCUCAGGCCAGCACCGGUUUGGGUGGUUGGAUAAAGGCUUGGGGAACGUAGCCUCCUUCGGGGGGUGUUAUAGCCCCAGGUGCAAUGCAGCCUACCUGGACCGAGGACCGCGCUUCGGCUAGGAUGCUGGCGUAAUGGUUGUAAGCGACCCGUCUUGAAACACGGACCAAGGAGUCUAACAUUUAUGCGAGUGUUUGGGUGUUAAACCCAUACGCGUAAUGAAAGUGAACGGAGGUAAGAACCCUUAAGGGUGCAUUAUCGACCGAUCCUGAUGUCUUCGGAUGGAUUUGAGUAAGAGCAUAACUGUUGGGACCCGAAAGAUGGUGAUCUAUACGUGAAUAGGGUGAAGCCAGAGGAAACUCUGGUGGAGGCUCGCAGCGGUUCUGACGUGCAAAUCGAUCGUCAAAUUUGCGUAUAGGGGCGAAAGACUAAUCGAACCAUCUAGUAGCUGGUUCCUGCCGAAGUUUCCCUCAGGAUAGCAGUGUUGU